rnacentral:rRNA from 1 species
UACGGAGGGGGCUAGCGUUGUUCGGAAUUACUGGGCGUAAAGCGCACGUAGGCGGCUUUGUAAGUUAGAGGUGAAAGCCCGGGGCUCAACUCCGGAAUUGCCUUUAAGACUGCAUCGCUAGAAUUGUGGAGAGGUAAGUGGAAUUCCGAGUGUAGAGGUGAAAUUCGUAGAUAUUCGGAAGAACACCAGUGGCGAAGGCGACUUACUGGACACAUAUUGACGCUGAGGGUGGCGAAAAGCGGUUGGGG